GGGUGGGAAGGAGCUCGCAGGGUGCGAGCCGGCGCUGCUUGCCCGCGGCGCUUCGGGAAAGAUGGGGCCAGCAGGGCGAGCGAGGUUGUUUGAAAAAAACGGACAAGGUGCCAUUGACAUUGCAGAAAGAGGAUAAACACAUGAUGUAUUCAUGAAGUGCUUUGUAUCUGCUCUGUAUUUUGCAGGCAGUUUCGUGGAACUCGGUUCUGAGGCCCUCCACCAGCUCUUCCUCCUGGGUUCGCACGGCCGCCGUCGUCUCAGCCUGUUGCUGGUGAGAGAAGGCGACUGUCAUCACAGCCUACGCAAGUUAUGGUUUAGCUUCCUUGCAUUCCAAACUGGCAGCAAUAUUUUCACAGCUUGUGGCAAUUCUGGCUCUUAAGUUUGAUUCAUGUGUAUUUAAUCCCUUGGUUGAACAAUUCUGGAUACUUCUUAGUGUCAAAACCAUCAUAUUUUCUAGGCAUUCACUGUAAAAUGGUUUAUGCAUACAAGUGUAUUUAUGUAAUCCGUGUCAACAACAGCUGUUCAGAACUCAUACUUGUAUGUGUAAAAUUAUCUCCAAAGAGAAAACAUUGCUCUAAUUGUUCAUUUUAUAGCCAUACUGUAAUAUUUCUUUAAAAGUUGUGUGUCUUCAGAACUACUCACACCUUAAUUUUGCACAUAAAAUUCUAUGAGUCAGACAGCAAAUCAUAUCACAGGGGUAAAAAAAAAAAAUAUGUUAAUUGAGUAAUAUGUUAAUUAUGCUUCUCUUGUGGUUUAGGGGGUUUUAUAUGUGUGUAUUUCAGGUUCCUUGAAAAUAGGUGAAGGAAAAAGUACCUUAGUAAAAAUAGAAUUUCUAUACUUUUUAAUAAGGGUUGAGAUCAAGGCUUGUCAGCCCAGAGCUCUGGGCUCUCUAGAAAAUACAACUCUUUAGUCAAAACCUACAUUUCAUGCUAAAAUUAAACUAUGCAAAACACUUCCA